CAAAAAACCAAAAAAAACA
rnacentral:sRNA from 1 species